rnacentral:rRNA from 1 species
CAGCCGCCGCGGUAAUACGUAGGGAGCAAGCGUUGUUCGGAUUUACUGGGCGUAAAGGGCGCGUAGGCGGCGCGGUAAGUCACUUGUGAAAUCUCUGAGCUUAACUCAGAACGGCCAAGUGAUACUGCUGUGCUAGAGUGCGGAAGAGGCAACCGGAAUUCUUGGUGUAGCGGUGAAAUGCGUAGAUAUCAAGAGGAACACCUGAGGCGAAGGCGGGUUGCUGGGCCGACACUGACGCUGAUGCGCGAAAGCCAGGGGAGCGAACAGGAUUAGAUACCCCGGUAGUCCCUGUCUCUUAUAC